UUCUGCUUGUGCCUGAGCACCGGGCAUCCGCUAACGUUGUCUGCUGGCUUUAGGCUGGGCAGACACGGGAAGCACUGCCUGCAGCAGCACCGGCUGAGCUCCGUGUGCCAGAGGAAAGAACGCAGCGUCUGGAGGAGCAGGAGGAGGAGACCCCGCGUGACUCUGCGUGUUCUGCAGGGCCGUUCCUCACAGACUGCCGCUGACAGACGUUUGGGGCACUGCAGAGCCUGUUGGUGCGGACGAGCCUUCCUCCUCAGUUACUCGCAUCCUACAGCAGUGAAGGAGUUCCCUUGCUCUGUAGGAAUGGUUCCUGUGCAACGGCAUGGUCGUCUGCCUGUAAUAAGUACUGAAGGCAGGAGAUGGGCAGUGGUACUGCAGCUUCUCUGGCAGUCUUGCAGCUACGUCAGGAGGUAGAAGAUGUGGAUUUGAAAGAAGAACUCAGUUCCUGGGACGUUCCCCUGUUCUUCCCCUAGCUGUCCCCUUCCUCAGCCUGGAUUCCCCUUGCAUUCCUGCAGGUGUCUCUUCCAUCCCCCUGGCUGGCCCUUGCUUUCCCCAAGGCUGCCCUUUCCCAUGACACCCAUAAUUCCCUCAGAGCACCAGUAGCGCCCUCAAUAUUUCCCAUCCAGGAUCCCUGUAGCCACCCCACAGCCCCCCACAAAGCCCCAUAGCCCCUCCAGGGCCUAGUAAAACUCCCCCAUAGCUGAACCAAAACUCCACAGAACCUGAUAGUCCCCAACAGCACCCCGUGUCCCCCAUUGGGCUCCCUCUGAACCUCUGUAUUUCCUCCCUCUUACCUCCCUUACCAGCUCCACAGCCCCCCUGGGAUCUUGUUCCCCCUCCAGCUGGUUCUGAA